rnacentral:rRNA from 1 species
UACGGAGGGUGCAAGCGUUAUCCGGAUUCACUGGGUUUAAAGGGUGCGUAGGUGGGCAGGUAAGUCAGUGGUGAAAUCUCCGGGCUUAACCCGGAAACUGCCAUUGAUACUAUCUGUCUUGAAUACCGUGGAGGUGAGCGGAAUAUGUCAUGUAGCGGUGAAAUGCUUAGAUAUGACCCGGAACACCGAUUGCGAAGGCAGCCCGCUACGCAACGAUUGACGCUGAGGCACGAAAGCGUGGGGAUCAAACAGG